GCAGACACAUUCCAGCCAAUCAGCAGCAGACCCUCCCUCCAAGACCCUCCCACCUCCUGGACAGCAUCCAUUUUGAAGCUGUAUUCUUAGUGAGCUGUCCAGGAGGUGGGAGGGUCUGGGAGGGAGGGUCUGCUGCUGAUUGGCUGGAAUGUGUCUG